AUGGACAAAACGCGGUGGCUGGACCUCCCAGUCCCGGCGGAUCUGCUCCGCGAGAUCUCCUCCCGCUUGCGCACUACCGCCGACUUCAUCCGCUUCCAUGCCGUCUGCAUGCUAUGGCGCGACUCACACGAGCCAACGACGACGGUAGCGACGAUCACGAAUGAUCACUUUCACUUAUUGCCCUGGCCCCUCUCGCCCGGCAAGAAGGACGAUGACUCCCUCGAGUAUACAAAUCUCUUCUCCGAGGCAGGUUACCGCACACCGCCACCAAUAUCCGUCAUGGGGAUGAACUGGCUGGCCAGCAAUGACGACACCACCAUCCGCUACUUCACCGUUUCCCACUCCAUCCGCCCAACGAUCCUCUAUGACCCUCUGUUCCGAGGCGCCCUCUCCCACCUGCCUCUUUUCCCACAAGGGUUCCAGUUGGGGGAGAACCCCAGUGGCAUCGUCUACAGCUCAGGGUGUGAAUCUCGGUGCGGACCGGCGGUCCUCACGGUCCCGGUGACGUCCAGUCACUGCCAUGUGGGCCCAAGGUGUUGGAGAGGUCGUUGGAGCAGCAGCACGGUGGCCGGAGCUGGAGAAGACACACCUGAGGCGCGGCGGCGCGAGGGAGAGGCACGGGACAGAGAGAGCGUCGCACGGCCGCGCGACGGCGCGGGGGAGAGGGCGAGCGGCGGCGCGAGGGAGCGGCGGCGCGAGGUAGAGACGCGGUGGCGCGAGGUAGAGGCACGGUGCCGGGGAGAGGGAGGCAACGCAGGGGAGAAAGGAAGCAGCCCGUGCGGCGCCAUGAGCAUGGACGAGGACGGCGGCUAG
rnacentral:rRNA from 1 species